rnacentral:rRNA from 2 species
GGGGGAAUAUUGGACAAUGGGGGCAACCCUGAUCCAGCAACGCCGCGUGAGCGAAGAAGGCCUUCGGGUCGUAAAGCUCUUUUCUGAGGGAAGAGGCAGGACGGUACCUCAGGAAUAAGUCUCGGCUAACUACGUGCCAGCAGCCGCGGUAAAACGUAGGAGGCGAGCGUUAUCCGGAUUUACUGGGCGUAAAGGGCAAGUAGGCGGUGGCCAAAGUUGGGCGUGACAUCUCCCGGCUCAACUGGGAGGGGUCGUUCAAAACUAGGUCACUUGAGGGCAGGAGAGGGAAGCGGAAUUCCUAGUGUAGCGGUGGAAUGCUCAGAUAUUAGGAAGAACACCAGUGGCGAAGGCGGCUUCCUGGCCUGCACCUGACGCUGAGAGGCGAAAGCUAGGGGAGCGAACGGG